GUGUUGUAUGAAAGGAGAGAAGGUUAACCUUGACAAGGAUGCUUCCAUGCUUGGGCCUUACAACAUGCAUAAGGUUAAGGCAUUGCCACCUACUUAGUGUGGCAUCUAACCACAAAAAAAC
ensembl:snRNA